ensembl:snRNA U6 U6 spliceosomal RNA
GUGUUCGCUUUGGCAGCACAUGCACUAAAAUUGGAACAACACAGAGAAGAUUAGCAUUGUCCCUGUGCAAGGAUGACAUGCAAAUUCAUGAAGUGUUCGAUUUAAAA